ACUCAAAGGAAUAGACGGGGACUCACACAAGCGGUGGAGCAUGUGGCUCAAUUCGAGGCUACGCGAAGAACCUUAUCCUGGGCUUGACAUGGCAGAGGUAGCUCCGAUGAAAGUUGGAGCGGCCGGUAUCCAAUCCGGAGACUGUCACAGGUGCUGCAUGGCUGUCGUCAGCUCGUGUCGUGAGAUGUCGGGUUAAGUCCCAUAACGAGCGAAACCCUUGCCCUUAGUUGCUACCCGUAAGGGAGGACUCUAGGGGGACUGCCGGUGUUAAACCGGAGGAAGGUGGGGAUGACGUCAAGUCCUCAUGGCCUUUAUGCCCAGGGCUGCACACGUGCUACAAUGCCGCGAACAAAGGGAAGCAAACCCGCGAGGGGGAGCCAAUCCCAAAAAACGCGGCCCAGUUCAGAUCGAAGGCUGCAACUCGCCUUCGUGAAGUUGGAAUCGCUAGUAAUCGCAGGUCAGCAACACUGCGGUGAAUGUGUUCCUGAGUCUUGCACACACCGCCCGU
rnacentral:rRNA from 1 species